AUUGAACGCUGGCGAAAGGCCUAACACAUGCAAGUCGAGCGGAUGAAAGGAGCUUGAUAAUGACUUAAGAAACGGACGGGUGAAUAACGCAUAGGAAUCUGCCUGGUAGUGGGGGAUAACGUCCGGAAACGGGCGCUAAUACCGCAUACGUCCUGAGGGAGAAAGUGGGGGAUCUUCGGACCUCACGCUAUCAGAUGAGCCUAGGUCGGAUUAGCUAGUUGGUGGGGUAAAGGCCUACCAAGGCGACGAUCCGUAACUGGUCUGAGAGGAUGAUCAGUCACACUGGAACUGAGACACGGUCCAGACUCCUACGGGAGGCAGCAGUGGGGAAUAUUGGACAAUGGGCGAAAGCCUGAUCCAGCCAUGCCGCGUGUGUGAAGAAGGUCUUCGGAUUGUAAAGCACUUUAAGUUGGGAGGAAGGGCAGUAAGUUAAUACCUUGCUGUUUUGACGUUACCAACAGAAUAAGCACCGGCUAACUUCGUG
rnacentral:rRNA from 1 species